rnacentral:lncRNA from 1 species
GACUGUUAGGGCUUGUGAGAACUUAUUUUAAGACGGGGAGGAGGCGAGAGCGUUCAUAACCAAAGGAAACACUGCGUGAUGUCUACAUGUUCCAAGAGACUGAAAAUGGAUGUGACAUGUGUGGAAAGAUUGGAAAAUUCUGGUGGGAGUUUAAAAACACGGUCUCUUUAGAAAAUCCGCCUGAAGCCAAUUUUUUGAUAUGACUCAACAUUUAACACUUCCUUGAUUUUAUACGCGAGAGAAUCUGAAGGUCUUUCCCAGGAAAAAGAUAAAGAUAAAACUUAUUGCGGGACUUGGAGACACUUACAAAAAUUCCCCAGGAGUGACUGGAUCUCAAGGGUGAAGAGUUUUUUUAAAUGGUCGUGGUUAUAAGGUCAAAG